rnacentral:lncRNA from 1 species
GAGAUCAAAGAAGAUCCGUCUUUCAAGGGCUUAAAAUAGUAUCUGAGUGGGGAAAGGCAGUGUCAUUCAUCUAGAAGGGAACUAAUGCUUGCGCCUGUCUGACCAGGAGCUUUGGGCCGGCUGUGGCCCAGGUAAGGGCUCUGUGUGCAACACGAAGAGGUACUACCUGAGAAGUUUUCGAAACAGGAAGAGCUAGGAGCCAGCCCUGGCCACGAGGCUCAAGUCCUGAACCUCAGGUCAGUUUGAUGCAGUUGCCAGACCCUCUAGACCCUCUGACUCCCCCUCUCUGGACCUCUAUAAUCCCCUGGACUAUUUCUCAAGAUAUGGUUGCCAUCCAUCUCUGAGCUUCCUAAAAUGUUAGUGAAAAUUCAGAAUCCUGGGUCUGACUUUAGAGCUCCUGAAUCAAAAUCUCCAGAGGAGAUGCCCAAGAACCUGUAUUUUAGGAAGCUCUGCACUUGCUUGGGGGUCCUUGAACUUGGAACAGGAAGGGCAGACUGCCGCUACCAGCAGGUGAAUGGAGGUUUGGAUCAUGUGAAUUCUGGGACAGGCAGAGCAAGGAGAAGAGCUGGUCUUAUCUAACCCUCACAACGUCCUUAGGAGGUAGUGGUCAAACCCAUUUCAGGAAGAUACUGAGCCCCAGAGACAUAGCAAGUAUCCCAUUUGGAAGGUCUUGCUUGCACCCUAGAGGAAUCCACACAAUAUGGUACCUUGUGUAAUAAACUAAGGUCAUUUUAGGUCACCAGGUCCUAGCUCAAGCAGGGAUGGUCACAUGCCACAGAGGAAUUAAGGCACAGAAUAGGUGAGCCACGCCCUGCUGUGUGCAAUGGAAGGUCUGGGUGGAGUAGCUGGAGGAUCCCGGAGGUGGGAGGUCUCACUCUCCUCUUUAAGCAAUUGGAAUAAAUCCAAUGUCUCUUCCGUGGCAAGCUAAAUGUUGUUUUCGAGUCUGGAGCCUUGUUUGUAUAUUUUGAAUAAAUUUGAUAAUUAAGCCACACAUGCUCCCAGCACACUUGGAUAUAUUUAAAUUACAAGCUUUUGAUCUAAUGAAGAAAAAUCACAAAUAUGGGCCAAAGCAAUGGCUCUUUGUGUGUGUGGUGCCUUUCACAACACUCAAAUGGGUCCGUGAGCUUAAUGGCCAAUUCCAAAG